UAAACGUUUUUUUUUUAUUGAAUGUUGAAGCAAUAUGUGAAUUUAGAACCAAGGCGGACGCAGAAUGGAUGCUGUUUUGUAAAAUUAAUUAAAGAUUCCAUUAAAAAUGAAGAGCUUGUC